GUUGAAAGCUAACUUUGAUGCUGCAGUAGAUAUCAAUUAAAAGAAUGAAAUCAGUGCAGUUAUUAUUAGGAACCACACAGGAAGGUCUUUGGAUUGGACUACUCUAGUAUAGACAUUCCUCUUAUCCUAAAGAGUUUAGCUUGCAGGAAUGCACUUCAGCUAGUAAUUACUAAAAGAAACACUAGAAUCAUCUUUGAAGGAGAUUUUCA
rnacentral:misc_RNA from 1 species